rnacentral:rRNA from 1 species
AGCGAACGCUGGCGGCAGGCUUAACACAUGCAAGUCGAACGGGCACUUCGGUGCUAGUGGCAGACGGGUGAGUAACGCGUGGGAACGUGCCUUUCGGUUCGGAAUAAUCCAGGGAAACUUGGACUAAUACCGGAUACGCCCUUCGGGGGAAAGAUUUAUUGCCGAAAGAUCGGCCCGCGUCUGAUUAGCUAGUUGGUGAGGUAAAGGCUCACCAAGGCGACGAUCAGUAGCUGGUCUGAGAGGAUGAUCAGCCACAUUGGGACUGAGACACGGCCCAAACUCCUACGGGAGGCAGCAGUGGGGAAUAUUGGACAAUGGGCGCAAGCCUGAUCCAGCCAUGCCGCGUGAGUGAUGAAGGCCUUAGGGUUGUAAAGCUCUUUUGUCCGGGAAGAUAAUGACUGUACCGGAAGAAUAAGCCCCGGCCAACUUCGUGCCAGCCGCCGCUGUAACAC